rnacentral:rRNA from 1 species
ACGGGAGGCAGCAGUAGGGAAUAUUGCACAAUGGGGGAAACCCUGAUGCAGCAACGCCACGUGUGGGAAGAAGCAUUUCGGUGUGUAAACCACUGUCGUGAAGGAAUAAUGCCUGGUCUCGGCCAGGUUGAAUGUACUUUGAAAGGAAGCACCGGCAAACUUCGUGCCAGCAGCCGCGGUAAUACGAGGGGUGCAAGCGUUGUUCGGAAUCACUGGGCGUAAAGGGAGCGCAGGCGGAGAUGCAAGCGGUCUGUACAAUCCCGGGGCCUAACCCCGGACCUGCAGACCGGACUGUUUCUCUUGGAUAGCUCAGGGGCUGGCGGAAUUCCUGGUGUAGCGGUGGAAUGCGUAGAGAUCAGGAAGAACACCGAUGGCGAAGGCAGCCUGCUGGGGACUCAUCGACGCUGAGGCUCGAAAGUGCGGGUAGCAAACAGGAUUAGAUACCCUGGUA